UGGGGAAUAUUGCACAAUGGGCGCAAGCCUGAUGCAGCCAUGCCGCGUGUAUGAAGAAGGCCUUCGGGUUGUAAAGUACUUUCAGUCGGGAGGAAGGUGUCAAGGUUAAUAACCUUGGCAAUUGACGUUACCGACAGAAGAAGCACCGGCUAACUCCGUGCCAGCAGCCGCGGUAAUACGGAGGGUGCAAGCGUUAAUCGGAAUUACUGGGCGUAAAGCGCACGCAGGCGGUUGAUUGAGUCAGAUGUGAAAUCCCCGGGCUUAACCCGGGAACUGCAUUCGAAACUGGCAGGCUAGAGUCUUGUAGAGGGGGGUAGAAUUCCAUGUGUAGCGGUGAAAUGCGUAGAGAUGUGGAGGAAUACCGGUGGCGAAGGCGGCCCCCUGGACAAAGACUGACGCUCAGGUGCGAAAGCGUGGGGAGCAAACAGG
rnacentral:rRNA from 1 species